AACGAACGCUGGCGGCAGGCUUAACACAUGCAAGUCGAGCGCCCCGCAAGGGGAGCGGCAGACGGGUGAGUAACGCGUGGGAAUCAACCCAUCUCUACGGAAUAACGCAUGGAAACGUGUGCUAAUACCGUAUACGUCCUUCGGGAGAAAGAUUUAUCGGAGAUAGAUGAGCCCGCGUUGGAUUAGCUAGUUGGUGGGGUAAAGGCCUACCAAGGCGACGAUCCAUAGCUGGUCUGAGAGGAUGAUCAGCCACACUGGGACUGAGACACGGCCCAGACUCCUACGGGAGGCAGCAGUGGGGAAUAUUGGACAAUGGGCGCAAGCCUGAUCCAGCCAUGCCGCGUGAGUGAUGAAGGCCCUAGGGUUGUAAAGCUCUUUCACCGGUGAAGAUAAUGACGGUAACCGGAGAAGAAGCCCCGGCUAACUUCGUGCCAGCCGCCGCAGUAACAC
rnacentral:rRNA from 1 species